CAGGUUCAUACAAGCCCCAUGCAAGUAUGCUCGUGGCAUAAAACCCAUAAGUAAAUUCACUAUGGUGGCACAAAAUAUAAAUAAAUAAAUAAAUAAUUUUUCCUGCUCUAUAUAAAAUAAAAAUAUAAAAAUAGAGAGUAACACUUAUUGAGGAAGCUCAACAUGAUAAAGGCUAGGUAUUUAUGCUAACACUUAACCAGUUCCACAAAGCUUUGUUGUCUAUUUGAGCUCCACAGAAUUCAAAGAAGACUAGCAGACGGAGGACAUCCUAAUCGCUGUCAGGGUGCUACCGAUAUUCAAAUACACCUCUACCACCUGCUAGCUACAUCAGAAGAAAUUACGUCAAGAUCCACUUGCACGUUCACUCAUAUAUGCUGCUUCUACUCCAGAAGUAUGCAUCCACAUACAUCCACUUAUUUCCAUCUCCAGAUCCACCUAAAAUUAUUCUACUCCUAUCAGGGAGAGAAUAACCAAAAAUAUUCUCCUAUCCCUGUUAUUCCUUAUGAAAUAAAUGCUCAAGUUAUCUUGGUUACUACCACUUGCUAUAUUAUUCCAGGCAGAUGAGUGCUCUGAAAAAAAUGAAUACAAGGCAAUAAAAAGGGGCAAGUGCUCGGAACCUCGAAGAAAAGAAAAAAGUGAGACGAGAGGUAAAAAUGGACAAGUGUGCGACAAUAGAAUUAGGGGUACAAGUACCUGAGAGAAAAGAAAAAAAUAUAUAGAGCAUCUCAUUCUCCUCAAAAAGCUUCAAAGUGCAAGGAAGGUAUGUAUCCCCUCAAAAGAGCAAAAGUAGAAUUAGACUUUCACCAUUGUUAUCACCAUCAUCACCAUACACCAUUCAUUUGCCACACAUGCACAUCUUGAUUUGACUUAUUGACUUGUUUCUCUGGAUCCAUGGUUUGACUAUGCAAUAAAUGUCUUGUAAGUAUGUAUACUUUAUCUCCCACCUAUGAGC
rnacentral:lncRNA from 1 species